rnacentral:rRNA from 1 species
AUGCACGGACGUUUGACGCCGGGGACGGAGCGAGGCAGAGCCGUGGCUCGACAUGUUGCCGGCGUCCUGAUCCGUGGAUCAGAUCCGGCGCUCUCCGGUAACGGCGGCACUGCCUGCAGCAGCAGGACUCUGCUAGAAGAGGUCAACGAGAACAACAUGAACUUGGAGCCUCUUCAUUACCCUGUGACGACGACGCCGGUGGUGGAGUUGCCGGCCUGCACGGCGUCAAUCGCCAACGACCAGAUUUGCGCUGAGGGCGCUGUUCCAAGGGCAGGCAGUGCAGAUAACCUCAAGCUUCAGAGCACUACAUCGAGCAGGGUCCGGGUUGGGGCCUCUGCGCUAGGCAGAGCCCCAUGUGCUGAUAGGAUUUCAGCGCUGGAGAAAAUUGUUCAAAGGAUUUCUGCACUGGAGAAAUCAAUCCCGGGUUUUGCUGAAAAUCCUGGGCACAAUGUCAUUGUACCAAAAUUAGGAACAAGCUUUGAUGAACUAGUGGAGAAUACCAAAAUUAGAAAUCCUGGGUUCUGUGUUAACAAGGGAAAGGCAUUAGUGGAGAAUACUCGGUCCUGCUGUUGUGAGUGCCCUGCUCUCACAAGGCUGUUGCAUUCAAAGGACACUGGUUGGUACACAGCGGAGCAUCGUGAGGAGCACAACCAUUCGCUCCAACUUAUGGGCAGACUUUUUUUUGGGUCGAUGGAAAAUGUACCAUUCACAGAAAGAGCUCUAAGGAACUUGUGUGGCAAGAUAAACCAUGAGCAAGCAGAGUAUGACGUUAGGAAAACAAAGGAGGUGUUUCAUGAGCUUGGUUCAAAAGAUCCGCAUUUCACAUAUCGUGUUCAAACUGACAAAAGGGGGAUCAGCAGACUGAUGUGGGCUAAUGGGAAGAACAUAUUACAGUAUACCUUCUUUGCAGAUGUUAUGAACCAGAUUCAACCAGAAUGUGCUAUGAGGAAGGAGAUGGGAAGGCCUACAAGCAGAGAGAAGGCGUUGUACGAGGGUUUGAGCAUAAGGACAAGAUUCAGCACCAUUUGUCGGCAUCAGGGGCAUAAGCAGACAACCUGUCCAGAUCGCCGAGAGAUGUCCCAAAGCAAGUUCGGAGACCAGCACGCUGCAAGAAUUGUGGAGUUGAAGGUCACCGUCGCAACAACUGCCACAAAGCAGCGGAACUUAUUAGACUCAAUAAAGCAUGAGCAGACCAAGACGGGUGCUUCUGAUCUCAGGCGUUUGAGUCGUUGUAUAGAGAAACACUUACCUAUGUUGCCUGAUCUGACGGCCCUAGCCAUGCAUUCAAAUUUUGAACUCCAUGAGUGGGAGGAUUGUGAAGGCUGUACCAUGGUUCGCGUAGCUGAAGUGAGGUUCUUGUGCAGCUGUUUACAAGGAGACUCUAUGGCUCUAUCGCCGGAUCGGCAGUCACGCGAACUGAAUAAUACUCUAGAGGAGGACGGUGAAGCUUUAGAGGCGUCGUCCGUGAAUCAAGGGAAGCCAUCUGAGGUGGCGAGGAGUUCAUUUUCUAGUCUUUCUUCUGUGCCUGACGAUGGGAUCGAUGCUGGAGAUGUUGAUGUAGGGAGCGUGCGGUGGUUUUAG